ensembl:lncRNA
CAAUGAUGGUUUUAUCUCCACCUCUGCCAUGUUGUUAGACCCAGUUUUAGCAGCAGAAGCCCCUGCAUCAACCUUCUCUUUCUUUUCUUUUCUUCUCUAUUGCUCACCUACAACUUGUGCAAAACUCAUUUUAUCUGUUUGAACUGCUGAAUCUGUAUGUCUACACCUGAUGCUUUUGCUUAUUCCAAAGAAAACCCAAACUCAGAGGUGCUAGAGUUUUUGCAAUUCAGUUUUUCUGAAAUGCUGUUUUACUUUUACUUCAGAUGUAAUGGGACACGCACCUUCCAAAACAUCUCAUCGGUCCACAGAGUUUUUUCCCAAAUGUUUUAAGCAUCAACAUGAUGUUUUCUGGCAGAGAUGAGCCUUCAUGUUCUUUCAGCUCAGCAGUGGAUUUUAUCCUGGAACUCUGCAUUACAGGCCAUCUUUGCCAAGUCUCCUUCUUAUAGUGGAGUCAUGAACUCUGACCUUAAAAAACGCAAGUGAGGCCUGCAGUUCUUUGGAUGUUUUUCUGGGGGUUUUUGUGACCUUCUUGGAUGAGUCAUUGCUACGCUCUUGGGGUAAUAUUAAUCAGCUUCACAUUCCUGAGAAGUUUCACCACUUCUCCAUGUUUUCAACAUUUGUGGACAAUGGCUCACUGUGAUUCGCUGGAGUCCCACAGCUUUAGAAAUGUCUUUAUACCAGACUUUAUUUUCCAGAUUCAGAGAUUCAAAGCAGAAACAUUUAAACACAUUGAGGAAGUUUGUCAACAGGAAGCUGAAGGCACAGUCUGUGCAAACUGACUGCAGGCACACAAGGUUCUGCAAGAAGAUUGCUUAAUCAUUUGGUCUGCCAUUAUUUCUAUUAGUGGCUCUUGUAUCAGAACCCAACAGAACACUGGACUGUAACAAGAUGAUGAGUGUUAUUCACUUAUUAAACAUAACUAUGUAUAUCUAUAACUCUGACUUAAAUACUACAGCUGUGGAGGUUGAGACCCACUUGAACUCCGAAAACUACCAAAAAAGAGCAGAAUAGUGGCUCCUUCCCAUUGUGGUCACUUCUUGGAGGAAUCCUCGGGAUGAUGUCACUCUCCUUGAUCAUCUUUGUUUGGAUCCUCUGACUCAGUGCAAGACAGAGGACAACAGCAGGAUUUGGUGUACGCACAGGUGAAAGUCAACAAGCCAGAAAACUGUUUAACACAGAGGAACUCUGAGGCGAAGAAAAUAUGAAUGUCUAAAAGGAGAUCACAUUACAGAAACGUGUUAACAAAGAAAAACACACGUGCUAACACAGCAGCCAGACCCAGAACUUCAGCAGGUAACAAAGUGAUGAGCAGCCUUUGUUUCUACAUGUACAAGUUUCUAAAGUAGCAUCCCUGUGGAGAUUACUUUGAAGUCUCUUUGGGCUGAUGUUCAUUUUUGCUGUUGUCGACUUUGUGUUCAUACAUACAAACUAAAAGAAAGAUUGUAUGUUUGUCGUCAUUAGAGCGACACACAUUGUGUGGGUGUGUGGGCCUGUAAUCUUUAAGUUUUUAUUGUUAACUGCUAAUUAUGUGACAGUGUCAGUUUUUGGAGUGACAGUGAUGUGAUGUAAUGAGUAGUGUAACAAUUUACUUUCUGCAGUGAGUAAUUAAGUAACAUAAAGUAUUACUUUUAAGAAGAGUAACUGGUAAUAUGUAAUACAUUAUUUUUCUUUAGUAACAAGC